UAUCAUCAGAAUUAAAAGAACUAUCAUCUACAAUGGCUCCAUUACAGGCAAUGCUCUCCUGCCUAUUCAGUUUGUCCUUGAUUCUCUCAAAUCCCUCUCAUACCUGUCCAGGAGCUCAUUAAACUUUAUCUCAAAAGCUUCUGCGAUAUCUUCCUUCAACUGAUUGACUAUGGCUUGGAUUGCUGCAUCCAUUUUGCUUUCUUUUUUGUGUUUUAUCUAUUAAAAU
rnacentral:lncRNA from 1 species